rnacentral:rRNA from 1 species
CUGUAAGCCUGCGAAGGUGUGCUGUGAGGCAUGCUGGAGGUAUCAGAAGUGCGAAUGCUGACAUAAGUAACGAUAAAGCGGGUGAAAAGCCCGCUCGCCGGAAGACCAAGGGUUCCUGUCCAACGUUAAUCGGGGCAGGGUGAGUCGACCCCUAAGGCGAGGCCGAAAGGCGUAGUCGAUGGGAAACAGGUUAAUAUUCCUGUACUUGGUGUUACUGCGAAGGGGGGACGGAGAAGGCUAUGUUGGCCGGGCGACGGUUGUCCCGGUUUAAGCGUGUAGGCUGGUUUUCCAGGCAAAUCCGGAAAAUCAAGGCUGAGGCGUGAUGACGAGGCACUACGGUGCUGAAGCAACAAAUGCCCUGCUUCCAGGAAAAGCCUCUAAGCAUCAGGUAACAUCAAAUCGUACCCCAAACCGACACAGGUGGUCAGGUAGAGAAUACCAAGGCGCUUGAGAGAACUCGGGUGAAGGAACUAGGCAAAAUGGUGCCGUAACUUCGGGAGAAGGCACGCUGAUAUGUAGGUGAAGCGACUUGCUCGUGGAGCUGAAAUCAGUCGAAGAUACCAGCUGGCUGCAACUGUUUAUUAAAAACACAGCACUGUGCAAACACGAAAGUGGACGUAUACGGUGUGACGCCUGCCCGGUGCCGGAAGGUUAAUUGAUGGGGUCAGCGCAAGCGAAGCUCUUGAUCGAAGCCCCGGUAAACGGCGGCCGUAACUAUAACGGUCCUAAGGUAGCGAAAUUCCUUGUCGGGUAAGUUCCGACCUGCACGAAUGGCGUAAUGAUGGCCAGGCUGUCUCCACCCGAGACUCAGUGAAAUUGAACUCGCUGUGAAGAUGCAGUGUACCCGCGGCAAGACGGAAAGACCCCGUGAACCUUUACUAUAGCUUGACACUGAACAUUGAGCCUUGAUGUGUAGGAUAGGUGGGAGGCUUUGAAGUGUGGACGCCAGUCUGCAUGGAGCCGACCUUGAAAUACCACCCUUUAAUGUUUGAUGUUCUAACGUUGACCCGUGAUCCGGGUUGCGGACAGUGUCUGGUGGGUAGUUUGACUGGGGCGGUCUCCUCCUAAAGAGUAACGGAGGAGCACGAAGGUUGGCUAAUCCUGGUCGGACAUCAGGAGGUUAGUGCAAUGGCAUAAGCCAGCUUGACUGCGAGCGUGACGGCGCGAGCAGGUGCGAAAGCAGGUCAUAGUGAUCCGGUGGUUCUGAAUGGAAGGGCCAUCGCUCAACGGAUAAAAGGUACUCCGGGGAUAACAGGCUGAUACCGCCCAAGAGUUCAUAUCGACGGCGGUGUUUGGCACCUCGAUGUCGGCUCAUCACAUCCUGGGGCUGAAGUAGGUCCCAAGGGUAUGGCUGUUCGCCAUUUAAAGUGGUACGCGAGCUGGGUUUAGAACGUCGUGAGACAGUUCGGUCCCUA